rnacentral:rRNA from 1 species
GACGUAGGACGCAAGCGUUAUCCGGAUUUACUGGGCGUAAAGCGUCUGUAGGCGGAUUGGUAAGUUGGGCGUGAAAGCUCCGGGCUUAACCCGGAGAGGCCGUUCAAUACUGCUAAUCUAGAGGGUGUCAGAGGGGAGCGGAAUUCCUGGUGUAGCGGUAAAAUGCGCAGAUAUCAGGAGGAACACCGGUGGCGAAGGCGGCUCCCUAGGGCAAACCUGACGCUGAGAGACGAAAGCUAGGGGAGCGAACAGG